GGUUGAGUCCGGCUUUCGUGGUGGCAGUUCCCAGGUGUCCCAGCUUCUUUGGUUCUGCGUUAUUUGAGCACAGGAGCCUGGGGACGAUGCUGUGAAGAUGGACAUGGCAUCUGUGACUUUUGAAGAUAUGUGUGUGUCAAGUUCACCAAGGCAGAGUGGGCUUUGCUGGAUCCUUCACAACAGAAACUGUACAGGGAUGUGAUGGUAGAAACCUUCAGGAACCUGGCCUCUGUUGACGUCAAGUGGUGGGGAGAUUCUGUGACCAAAAAGAAGAUAUUCAGUGUGGAGAAGUCUUCAGCCAUACUCCAGAUCAUAUUAUGAGCAAUAAUACUCCUACUAGAGUGGGACCAAAUUAAAACUCUGUAAAAGGAAGUCUUUAUCAACCAUCCAUCCCUGAGUCUGCCCUUCAGAACUCUAGAGUGGACCCAGGCCACAUGAGUAUCAGGAAUAUGGAGAAAAGCCAUUUAAAUGGAAGGAUUCUGAGAUAGCCUUUCCUACUUCCAGACUCCUUAAAUGGCAUGAAAGAAGUCACACUGGAGAGGCACCCUUUGUAUGUAAGCAGUGCAGACAUACACUUUUUUGUGGGAGUGGCAUUUGCAAACAUGAACUGACUCAUGGUAGAGAAAAACUGUAUGUUUGUAUGCCAUGUGGGAAAUCCAUCUCACAUUUGUGCGCUGUUGAAAAACAUGAAAGAUCUUCCAGUACAUAGAAACCCUAUGUAUGCAAGCAAUGUGGAAUAGCUUUUAGUUCUUCCACUUACCUGAAAAAACAUGAAAGAACUCACAUGGGAGUGAAGCCCAUUACAUGUAAGCAAUGUGGAAAAGCCUUUAGUUCAUGCAAUUACCUCAAAAAACAUGAACAAAUUCAUACUGAAGCAAAACAUAACGCAUGUAAA